ensembl:lncRNA
ACCCAGUCAGCUGUACAACAUCAGACAUCCACAGCCCAGUCAGCUGUACAACAUCACAGCCCAGUCAGCUGUACAACAUCAGACAUCCACAGCCUAGUCAGCUGUACAACAUCAGACAUCCACAGCCCAGUCAGCUGUACAACAUCAGACAUCCACAGCCCAGUCAGCUGUACAACAUCCACAGCCCAGUCAGCUACACAGCCCAGUCAGCUGUACAACAUCAGACAUCCACAGCCCAGUCAGCUGUACAACAUCAGACAUCCACAGCCCAGUCAGCUGUACAACAUCACAGCCCACAGCCCAGUCAGCUGUACAACAUCACAGCCCAGUCAGCUGUACAACAUCAGACAUCCACAGCCCAGUCAGCUGUACAACCCAGUCAGCUGUACAACAUCAGACAUCCACAGCCCAGUCAGAUGUACAACAUCACAGCCCAGUCAGCUGUACAACAUCAGACAUCCACAGCCCAGUCAGCUGUACAACAUCAGACAUCCACAGCCCAGUCAGCUGUACAACAUCA